rnacentral:rRNA from 1 species
AUACGGAGGGUGCAAGCGUUAAUCGGAAUUACUGGGCGUAAAGCGUACGUAGGCGGUUCGUUAAGUUAGAUGUGAAAGCCCCGGGCUUAACCUGGGAACUGCAUUUAAAACUGGCGAACUAGAGUUGAGUAGAGGGGAGUGGAAUUUCAGGUGUAGCGGUGAAAUGCGUAGAGAUCUGAAGGAACACCAGUGGCGAAGGCGGCUCCCUGGACUCAAACUGACGCUGAGGUACGAAAGCGUGGGUAGCAAACGGGAUUAGAAACCCGAGUAGUCC